rnacentral:rRNA from 1 species
GAUGAACGCUAGCUACAGGCUUAACACAUGCAAGUCGAGGGGUAACGAGAGGAAAGCUUGCUUUCCCUGUCGACGACCGGCGCACGGGUGAGUAACGCGUAUCCAACCUGCCCCCAACUAGGGAAUAACCUUGCGAAAGUAAGACUAAUGCCCUAUAAUUUCCUCAGAUGCCAUCUGACGAGGAAUAAAGAUUUAUCGGUUGUGGAUGGGGAUGCGUCUGAUUAGCUUGUUGGCGGGGUAACGGCCCACCAAGGCAACGAUCAGUAGGGGUUCUGAGAGGAAGGUCCCCCACAUUGGAACUGAGACACGGUCCAAACUCCUACGGGAGGCAGCAGUGAGGAAUAUUGGUCAAUGGGCGGAAGCCUGAACCAGCCAAGUAGCGUGCAGGAUGACGGCCCUAUGGGUUGUAAACUGCUUUUAUACAGGAAUAAAGUUAGCCACGUGUGGUUAUUUGUAGGUACUGUAUGAAUAAGGACCGGCUAAUUCCGUGCCAGCCGCCGCCGUAA